ACCAUGAAGCCUAGCGAUUGGUUGACUGAGUGGCGGACGGGUGAGUAACGCGUGGGUAACCUGCCUCAUACAGGGGGACAACAGUUAGAAAUGACUGCUAAUACCGCAUAACCCGCUAGGGCCGCAUGGCCCGGACGGAAAAGGAGCAAUCCGGUAUGAGAUGGACCCGCGUCUGAUUAGCUGGUUGGUGGGGUAACGGCCUACCAAGGCAACGAUCAGUAGCCGAACUGAGAGGUUGACCGGCCACAUUGGGACUGAGACACGGCCCAAACUCCUACGGGAGGCAGCAGUGGGGAAUAUUGCACAAUGGGGGAAACCCUGAUGCAGCGACGCCGCGUGAGUGAAGAAGUAUUUCGGUAUGUAAAGCUCUAUCAGCAGGGAAGAAAAUGACGGUACCUGACUAAGAAGCCCCGGCUAACUACGUGCCAGCAGCCGCGGUAAUACGUAGGGGGCAAGCGUUAUCCGGAUUUACUGGGUGUAAAGGGAGCGUAGGUGGUAUGGCAAGUCAGAGGUGAAAACCCAGGGCUUAACCUUGGGAUUGCCUUUGAAACUGUCAGACUAGAGUGCAGGAGGGGUAAGUGGAAUUCCUAGUGUAGCGGUGAAAUGCGUAGAUAUUAGGAGGAACACCAGUGGCGAAGGCGGCUUACUGGACUGUAACUGACACUGAGGCUCGAAAGCGUGGGGAGCAAACAGGAUUAGAUACCC
rnacentral:rRNA from 1 species